ensembl:lncRNA
UCUAAAGUUGACCUCUUGGGGUAUAGUGGGCACUGUCCCAAGUUUCUUAAAUCGAGAGUAAGGGGCUUGGCCCCUGGCUUGCUGCUUCUAAGCCUUGAGGGCUGGUAACUGCCCUGCUAUAUCUGGGACUCUAGGCUUAAUGUGGCCCAUUAAUUAUCUGACUCCAAGAAUUCCCGUGGGCAAAGACAUUUAGGGGACCUUCCACAUCCCCCUCUCAUAACAACCCAACAUAUAAGAGGAAAUGCAUCAAAGAUGCUCAACAUAUGUCAAUUGGAUUGAAAUUUAUACCCUUUGUGAAUGGAGGGCAAAACUAAAGAAAAAUGAAUAUUAAAGCUAAGCCCAGGGAAAAGAGAGAGAGAGAGAGAGAGAGAGAGAGAGUGUGUGUGUGUGUGUGUGUGUGUGUGUAUGUGUGUGUCUGUGAGAGAGAGAGAGAUUGAUGGAGAGAUUGAGAUUUGACUUGGAGUCAGGAAGGUGCAUUUACAGCCUCAUAGGUUUUAGGAACCCUGAAAAGGUACCUUACUGCUUCAUAAGUCAACCUGUUGCUUUGUGUCCAGUGGUGAGAGUCAGAAACAACUGCCUCCCAUACUUACAAUUUGUGUGACCCUUAUCAAGUUAACAACUCUCCCUUAACCGUGCCAGGUUCUAAUUAACUCAAUGCUGGGAGAGGGCCGGGUUCCUGUUAUGUUGAGAGGAAACACUCUUGGAAGGACACAGACCAGCCAAGGAAUGGCACACAUUAUAGUACACCACAAUGGGAAGGUAUUGGAUUCCACAGAAAGAAGCAGACCUCACCAGCAUGGAAUAUAUAUUUCAGUUUCUCAGGAUUACUGGGGCAAAUUGUGUUGUAUAAGAAAAUUUACACAUGAGACCACCCCUGUGACUGUUACAGGAGAGACUGGUAGAUCCCCAAAUAUGCAUCGGGCCAGGAAUGAAAAAAUCAACACAACUAUAUAAUCUGGAGAGGAAAAAGAACACUUUGUAGAAAUCAUUCUUGAAAUAUUCCUGUUUCUGCAACUUUUCUGUUUCAAAAGCACUACUAAUCUCUGAAUAUUCAGAGGAAAAGAAAACUUGUGGUGGGAGAUAACUUCUUGAAAUAUUCCUUUUCUAAGCUUCUUCUGUUUCAAAGCACUACUAAUCUUCGAAUUUCAAGAGGAAAAGAAACUUUUGGAGGAGAUAAUCAUUCUUAAAAUAUUCCUGUUUCUGCAGCUUUCUUCUGUUUCAAAGCACUACCUAAUCUCUGAAUAUUCAGAGGAAAAGACUUGUGGUAGGAGAUAAUCUUUCUUGGAAACAUUCCCUAUUUUAGAGCUUCUUUUUUAAAGCACUUCCAAUCUCUGAAUGUUCAGAGGAAAAAGACUUUUGGUUAAGAAGAUUAUCUUUUUGAAACAUUCCUAUUUCAGGCUUUCUUCUUUUUAAAGCACUUUAAUUCUGGAAGAUUCUGAGGAAAAGACACAUGUGGAUGGAGGAGAUAAUCUUUCCAAGAACCUUUUCACUUAUUACCGGGCUUAUUCAGGGAAGCACAUCUAAAUUCAGGAAUAUUCUGUGGAUGAGAUGCUGAUGGGAAGACACACUCUUGGAACCUUUUAGUUACUACCCUCCGGGGAAAUCACCCUACUCUCAGAACUCAGAGGAAAAGGAGUUUGGAGGAAAGACACUCUCUCUGGGAAUUUUGGGGUAAAGAGAGAUUGGGAGAAGGAGCUUUGGGCAAAAGAAACCCCUUUGAGGAGAAAACAAGAGUGGGCUCUAUGGCCCAUCCUCACCUUGUUUUUAAUAAAGGUCGGUUCCUUUGCCCCAGAGGAAACUUUCCAGUUUUGCCCCACCAAUUACUUCAGGAUUGCUCUCUUGGAAAACCAUCUAGACCGAUGGCACCAGGGACAAGAUCUUUGUGGCAGGGAACUUGUUCUGGGAACAUUCCAUUAGUAAGGGCUUCCUCUCUGGGGAAGACGGCAAGAGAAAUUUCCCAUUUAAUUUAAUAAAAUAGAGGCCGCUGAAGCAUUCCUGAUGAAAAGACAAGAGCUGAGAAGAAAAUGUGACUUGCAAAUUGAAGACUCAAAAGCAGCAUUCAAAGGUAAAUAUGAUAGAGACCUCUCAAGUAACUCAUUAUUGAUACACUAUGUACUCUUCUAAAAGGGAAGAUGAUAACCAUAUCUCCUAAGAAUUUUAUCUUUACCAGGCAGGUAGAAGCAUUCAAGCUAGAAAGAGGUUUUGGAACUGAACCAUCUGGAUGGGGAUGAUGUAAAAUAGAUAGGUGAGAAAUAUGGAUGCCCUGGGAGAUGGUAGAAGGGAGAGAAAAAAUGGAGGAAAUGAUCCCAUAAAAUAAGCAUUCAAGGAAGAGGUUUUGCCUUGGAGUGGAAAAUGAUGAUGAGGAGAGUGACCAAUUCUUGAACCUCCUCACCAUCUAAAAGGCUCAAGGGGAAAUAUCGAUAUCAGUAUUUAUAUGUAUUUUCCAAUUUGGGCCGAAAAUCUUUUUACCCUAAAGGUAAGUAGGCAAAUGGGAGAGGAGAAGAAAAAGUGGUGAUAAACGUUGGGAAGUUAAAAGAAUGCAGUGGUCAUAUGCAAAAUAGAACUUAGCAGGGGAAUGGGGAUAAAAAGAAAGAAAGAAGGAAAAACAGAAUCAACUACAACAUGACUGUGUUAGUGGGAUGAACUCACUCCUAAAUGCAAGUGAGCAGUAAAAUGAAUUAGAAACCAGACUUCAGACUAUGUUUGUUUGUUUGUUUUUCUUUUUUUUUUAUUUUGAAAAGAUUCAUAUUGGGAAAGAAGAACCAGAGUUAAAAAAUGAGGGCUGAAGAGGAAACUUUACCCUUAGAAGGAUAAAAAACAUAAGGAAGCAAUCUUGAUGUCAAGAAAAAAUCAGAGAAAAAUUAGGCCUCAGUGAAAGGGGA